AAAAUGUACCAUGUUGUGCUCUCAGUCAUUGUUUAAUUGUUACUGCCAGGUCAAUAUUACAUCUUUGUAUUGCACAUGAUGCUGUUCUGAUUGUAGAGUUAUGUGAAAUGGAAAGAAAGAGAUACAUGUACAUACAGAGACUGUUUUGAUAUAAAGGUGUAAAAAUGAGCUACUAAGAAAAGAUGUUGAAAAUUUUAAAACUGUUUUAACAAGAGCAUCAAAAAAUAGAAAAAAAAAGAACAAUACCAGGUCUGGACCUUUGUGGCUGCAUGCAAUUAAUUCUAAAAUACCAGGAAACAAGAUGUAGCUGCACAGCAGACAUGGCAGAAAAUUGCUAAUAGACAUCAACUCAAAAUUCUCAAGAUGCUUAUCAAAAAUGAAAGCAUUCCUUUUCAUAGAAUCCAAGAAAUCUUUUAACCAAGUCAAGUGGUUAUUAGACCUGCUAUCAUGAAAAUAUUAACAUGUAUAUUACAGUCACAUGUAAUAUCCCAAAUAUAAGAACUAUUUGGUAUGUCUGACUAUCUUUCUUCCCAUGUCAUGUUACAUGUAUGCUCAGAGUAUUUUAAUGUCACGGAUAAAUGAUAUAUUGUCAACCAUUUAUAUGAAACAGACAGGCUCACAUAAAAAUUAACUGUCUAUGUGAAAGUUCAA